rnacentral:rRNA from 1 species
UACGAAGGGGGCUAGCGUUGCUCGGAAUCACUGGGCGUAAAGGGCGCGUAGGCGGAUCUUUAAGUCGGGGGUGAAAGCCUGAGGCUCAACCUCAGAAUUGCCUUCGAUACUGGAGAUCUUGAGACCGGAAGAGGUGAGUGGAACUGCGAGUGUAGAGGUGAAAUGCGCAGAUAUCAGGAAGAACACCCGUGGCGAAAGCGGCUCUCUGGGACGGUACUGACGCUGAGACGCGAAAGCGUGGGGAGCGAACAGG